GAGAAAAUAGAGAAAGCGGUUUCCAUUUCUUACACUCUUGGCUCCUGCAGGCUUCCAUCAUUGCCGCUGCUGCUGUCACCACUACUACCACUGCAGGGUUGCCUAGAAGCCGAUGAUCACUGUAAAGUUCCCCAAUGAAUUAAGUUUGGGCCAGGAGAUACUAAAGGAUACAAAAAUGGCAGACUCACUGCUGUUCUGGAGGUCUGUGCUAAACACACAUGGAAGAAUCUAUGCCAGGUACUCUGCCACCAUGGCAAAGCAUCCGAACAUGAAGAAGAUGGGUUUGAAUACCUGAAGAAUGUUGGGAGCUAAGUCAGUAUUGGUCCACAUCUGAAGACUGACAAAUCAUUUCAAGCAAAAAGAAGUGGCCCAGGGUGACUCAGAAUCAGACAUUCUCUUUGGAGACAUGGUACUGAAACACAGAAUG
rnacentral:lncRNA from 10 species